GCGGAUUAGCGACGUUCUGCUGUAGAAAAAAUUGGAACGAUACAGAGAACAUUAACAAGGCUCCGGCGCAAGGGUGACACUCGAAAUUGUGAAACGUUCCACGUUAAU